UCCAGACUCCUACGGGAGGCAGCAGUGGGGAAUAUUGCGCAAUGGGCGAAAGCCUGACGCAGCGACGCCGCGUGAGGGAUGAAGUAUUUCGGUAUGUAAAGCUCUAUCAGCAGGGAAGAAAAUGACGGUACCUGACUAAGAAGCCCCGGCUAACUAUGUGCCAGCAGCCGCGGUAAUACGUAGGGGGCAAGCGUUAUCCGGAUUUACUGGGUGUAAAGGGAGCGUAGACGGUCCUGCAAGCCAGAUGUGAAAGCCCGGGGCUCAACCCCGGGACUGCAUUUGGAACUGUAAGGCUAGAGUGUCGGAGAGGCAGGCGGAAUUCCUAGUGUAGCGGUGAAAUGCGUAGAUAUUAGGAGGAACACCAGUGGCGAAGGCGGCCUGCUGGACGAUGACUGACGUUGAGGCUCGAAAGCGUGGGGAGCAAACAGGAUUAGAUACCCCUGUA
rnacentral:rRNA from 1 species